rnacentral:pre_miRNA from 1 species
AGAUGAAGAGCUAUGUUUGAUAGCCAAGGAUGACUUGCCUAUCUCCUCCAACAGGGUUUCAAACAGAUGAAUAAUGCAGAAGAAUGCGGUGGGAUUAAUCUGGAUUUGGAGCUCUUUUGUGGCUCAUAGGCAGUCUCCUUCGGCUAGUCUGACUGGCUCUUAUCUU